GAUGAACGCUGGCGGCGUGCCUAAUACAUGCAAGUCGAGCGAACAGACGAGGAGCUUGCUCCUCUGACGUUAGCGGCGGACGGGUGAGUAACACGUGGAUAACCUACCUAUAAGACUGGGAUAACUUCGGGAAACCGGAGCUACUACCGGAUAAUAUAUUGAACCGCAUGGUUCAAUAGUGAAAGACGGUUUUGCUGUCACUUAUAGAUGGAUCCGCGCCGCAUUAGCUAGUUGGUAAGGUAACGGCUUACCAAGGCAACGAUGCGUAGCCGACCUGAGAGGGUGAUCGGCCACACUGGAACUGAGACACGGUCCAGACUCCUACGGGAGGCAGCAGUAGGGAAUCUUCCGCAAUGGGCGAAAGCCCGACGGAGCAACGCCGCGUGAGUGAUGAAGGUCUUCGGAUCGUAAAACUCUGUUAUUAGGGAAGAACAAAUGUGUAAGUAACUAUGCACGUCUUGACGGUACCUAAUCAGAAAGCCACGGCUAACUACGUG
rnacentral:rRNA from 1 species